UGACAGUCGCUCAGGUCCGUACCUUAUC
rnacentral:piRNA from 1 species